UACGUAGGUGGCAAGCGUUGUCCGGAUUUACUGGGCGUAAAGGGCGUGCAGGCGGUCUGUUAAGUUCAGGGUGAAAGCUCCCGGCUCAACUGGGAGAGGUCCUUGGAUACUGGCAGACUUGAGGAGGGUAGAGGAGAGUGGAAUUCCCGGUGUAGUGGUGAUAUGCGUAGAUAUCGGGAGGAACACCAGUGGCGAAGGCGGGUCUCUGGACAGUUCCUGACGCUGAGGCACGAAGGUCAGGGGAGCAAACGGG
rnacentral:rRNA from 1 species